UGGCAGGGGUGCCCCAGAGCAGGGUGAGGAGCCCACACAUGAGCAAACUCAUGACCAGGAAGCAAAAAAGAGGCAAAGAAAGGGUCUGAGGUCCCACAAUCCCUUUGGGGGCACUAGUGACCUAGCACUUCCCCCUAGACCCUACAUCCAAAAGUCUCCACCACCUUCCAGUAGUGCUAACCUGGUGAGUCAGCCUUUUUACCUACAAAGGUGCACAGGAUGGAAGCUUCGGGGACAGCACCACCUCACUCCCUUUAGUUAUCCAUCCCUCCAAUUGUCUCUGCCUCGAGAUCUCCGAAGCCUUUCACACAGAACACAACUCUGGCCUCAGCCUAUGCUACCCCAAACCUUACAUUCCAAAGAAGAGAGCAUGGGAAGAUUAAAUGAGAAGAAACCAGACCCCUUCCAUAAUCAAAUGGAUAACAGAUGAAGAAGAUAAGAGGGCUAGUGCUGUUGGCAUGUUUUCUUUGUCUGAAUCAAAAAAUUGGAUUCAAAACCAUUUUAGUGGCUUGACAUAUUUGUUCCUUGUUUCCAGAAACCAAAGUCAUAAGUGCCAUCCAUUAAGCAAUUCAGAGAAGGUUGGGAAGCCUUAAAACUAAACCAUAUACACUCCUAAGCCAAGGGUAAACACAAGAGAUGGAUGGCCUCCCAGGCUGCCACUUGGAUCCAACUUCAGGAGCACAAACCACCAAACAUAGGUGUUCCUGCUCCUUGACCUACCUCCUUUACCUGCACAGGGAUGAGAUGCCAGACUCCCAGAGUAAUGAACAAUGGGAUUUCCAUGAAGAUAUUGUCUCUCAAAGGGCUGGCGUGACAGCUACCUUCUAGACAACAGCUCCUGGUUUAAAAUGCACCCAAUAACAUGCCACAGUUUCCUAUGCCUCAUUCUCUGUACAUAAUUUGCUCCAUAGGGCUGGGGAUUUAGCUCAGUGGUGCUGCUGCCUGCCUCAUAAUUUGCUCCAUGCCAACCUCAUAAUCAAAAUAUCAAAAGUUAUGAUGUCACACACUCAGGCUCUAAGGGAAUGAAUUAAAUUUUCAAACAUUCAAACAUGACAAUUAUAGGUUUUGCAUAUACUGAGGUUUACAAAGUAAAUGACCCCAGUUAAAGUACUGACAAUGUUUAACACACCCUCCCAUCCAUGAGUUGUCUUUUUUUUUUUCAUUAAGUUUAUUGGUACUUCUUAGGUAUACAGUAUAGUUACAUUCAUCAUUAGGAUCUUGUAUCUUUACACGAUGUAUCUUGGUUUUUAUUUUUCCCCCAUAUCCUUGCCCUCCCUUCACACCCUCCACCCUUCCCUAUUUACAAAGACUUUGUUUCCAUGCUUUUCCUUUUCUCACAUUUUUUUCUUUUCCCUUCUUUCCUUUCCCCUACCCCUUCCACUUCCCCUACUCCUUUAGCCCUUUACUCCCUAUUUCACAUUAUCAAUUAUACACUUUGAACUUUAUUUAUAUUUCUAGUUUUUCACACUAGAGAAACUAUUUGGUAUUUACACACGUGUGUCCUAUUUAUUUCACUUAAGCGUAUGGCCCCAAUGCAUCCAUUCAGUUAUAAAUGACUCUAGUUUCUCAUUCUUUAUGGCUGAGUAUUACUCCAUUUUAUAGAAAAAGCCACAUCUUCUUUAUCCAGUCUAUCCAUGAAUUUUAACUUUAUGUAUCAUUUUUCUCUUGCUGCUAUAAUGAAUUACCAUGAAUUUAGGGGUUCAAAACAACAGAAAUCUAUUAUCUCACAUUUCUGUAGUGUAGGUUAGAAAUCCAGCAAGGGUCUGACUGGGCUAAAAUCAAGGAGACAGGAGGACUAUGUUCCUUUCUGGAGGCUCUAUAAAAAAAUUCAUUUUCCUUGCAUUUCCAUUUUCUAGAGGCAGUGUUCAUUCCUUUGUCUGUGGCUCUUUUUUAUCUUGAAGGUCAAAAACAGACCCAGUCUUUCUCACAUCACACCACUCUGACCUCUUUGCUUCCUUCUUCCACUGUGAAGACCCUGUGAUUACGUCAGGGCCAUGGAUUAAUUCAAGAUAACCUCAAGGUUGUCUGAUUAGCAACCUUAGUUUCAUCUGCAAAUGUAAGUUCUUUUGCCACACAGGUUAACAUAUUCACAAGUUCCAGAGAUUAGGACUUGGACAUUUUGAGGGGGAUUACUAUGUCUG
rnacentral:lncRNA from 1 species